GUCCUCUUGUUUGUAUAUGAGGUCUGACCUGCCCGGUGAAAGUUUUUUAACGGCCGCAGUAUAUUGACUGUGCAAAGGUAGCAUAAUCAUUAGUCUUUUAAUAGGGGGCUGGUAUGAAGGGUUUGACGAGGUGUUAGCUGUCUCAUUUGAUUUGUAUUUAGAAUUUAAUUUUUCAGUUAAAAGGCUGAAAUUGUAUUGGAAGACGAGAAGACCCUAUAGAGCUUUAUAAUUAAUGUUUUAAUUAUUUUUUUGUAUAUUAUUUUUUAUUAUUACUUUAAUUAUUUUGUUGGGGUGACAAAAAUAUAUAAUUAACUUUUUUAUAUAGUUAACAUUGAUAUAUGAAUAUUAGAUCCAUUAAUAUUGAUUGUUAGAUUAAGUUACC
rnacentral:rRNA from 1 species